rnacentral:rRNA from 1 species
AGAGUUUGAUCAUGGCUCAGGAUGAACGCUAGCGGCAGGCCUAAUACAUGCAAGUCGAACGGGUUUGAGUAGCAAUACUCAAAUCAGUGGCGCACGGGUGCGUAACGCGUAUGCAACCUACCUUAAACUGGGGGAUAGCCUUCCGAAAGGGAGAUUAAUACCGCAUAAUACUAUUUGAUGGCAUCUGAAGAUAGUUAAAGAUUUAUUGGUUUAAGAUGGGCAUGCGUGCCAUUAGCUAGUUGGUAGUGUAACGGACUACCAAGGCUACGAUGGCUAGGGGUUCUGAGAGGAUGAUCCCCCACACUGGCACUGAGAUACGGGCCAGACUCCUACGGGAGGCAGCAGUAGGGAAUAUUGGGCAAUGGACGAAAGUCUGACCCAGCCAUGCCGCGUGCAGGAAGAAGGCCUUCUGGGUUGUAAACUGCUUUUAUCUGGGAAGAAAACACCUAUGCGUAGGGAACUGACGGUACCAGAUGAAUAAGCACCGGCUAACUCCGUGCCAGCAGCCGCGGUAAUACGGAGGGUGCAAGCGUUGUCCGGAUUUAUUGGGUUUAAAGGGUGCGUAGGCGGCCCGAUAAGUCAGUGGUGAAAGCCUCCAGCUCAACUGGAGAACUGCCAUUGAUACUGUCGGGCUUGAGUACAGACGAGGUUGGCGGAAUUGAUUGUGUAGCGGUGAAAUGCAUAGAUACAAUCAAGAACACCGAUUGCGUAGGCAGCUAACUAGGCUGUAACUGACGCUGAGGCACGAAAGCGUGGGGAGCGAACAGGAUUAGAUACCCUGGUAGUCC